AUGGCUCCGUUGACGGAAGACAUCCAUAUAAAGAUCUGACCUGUGUUCAACAUUCUCAUCAUGAUGCACACAAACUAACCAUCAGAUCCUCUCAAGUUAUUAUGAAUAGAGGCCAGGAUCACAUGAAAACCUCAAAUGGAUUGGGUGGUAGAUUCUAUGAUCCCUAUCCUGAAUCUCCUUCAUUUCAAAACCGGCAAGUUUCGUAUGGCUCCGUUGACGGAAGAUAUCCAUAUAAAGAUCUGACCCGUGUUCAACAUUCUCAUCAUGAUACACACAAACUAAACAUUAGAUCCUCUCAAGUUAUUAUGAAUAGAGGCCAGGAUUACAUGAAAAGCUCAAAUGGAUUGGGUGGUAGAUUCUAUGACCUCUAUCCUGAAUCUCCUCCAUUCCAAAACCAGCAAGGUUCAUAUGACUCUGUUGACGGAAGACUUCCAUUUAAAGAUCUGGCCCGUGUUCAACAUUCUCAUCAUGAUGCACACAAACUAAACAUCAGAUCCUCUCAAGUUAUUAUUAAUAGAGGCCAGGAUGACAUGAAAAGCUCAAAUGGAUUGGGUGGUAGAUUUUAUGACCCCUAUCCUGAAUCUCCUCCAUUCCAAAACCAGCAAGGUUCAUAUGGCUCUGUUGACGGAAGACUUCCAUUUAAAGAUCUGACCCGUGUUCAACAUUCUCAUCAUGAUGCACACAAACUAAACAUCAGAUCCUCUCAAGUUAUUAUUAAUAGAGGCCAGGAUGACAUGAAAAGCUCAAAUGGAUUGAGUGGUAGAUCCUAUGACCCCUAUCCUGAAUCUUCUCCAUUUCAAAACCAGCAAGGUUCGUAUGGCUCCGUUGACGGAAGACAUCCAUAUAAAGAUCUGACCCGUGUUCAACAUUCUCCUGAUGGUUGGUUUCGGGGCAAUUCUGAUCGUAAUCAGGGUC
rnacentral:lncRNA from 1 species